GAGGGAUCGUGCGGUUCUUCAGCUGUGUGAUAAGGCCCCAGCGGGAUGGUGGCGGCGAAUCAACAUCGAUCAGACCAAGGAAUCCCACUGACACGAAAAAGUAGCGAUCACGCCAAUUAUGGGACCAAUCGGACAUGUGCUCCAGGAAAGGAUACCCCGCGCGCUAAGAGAUCAAUACACGCUGAGGGUGUAAUAACUAAAUAAUAAUAAUAAAUAAAUUUUAGAGUACCUUAGUGAGCCAAUUUAACUAAGGGUAGUUUAGUAAUGUGUUAAUAGAGAUAGAUAAACCCUAGGAUAUAAGGGUUAAAGAAGGGGAAAAAGGGAGAAGGAGGAAAAAAGGAAACGGAAGUGGAGUGAAGAACUUCCACACUACGGCGAGGUUGGGAUACAAACGGAGACGGAACUCCGACGAGGGGUCAUCCGGCGAUCGUGUGAGGCAGUGUUUAGGUGGGUGGAAAUGUUGGUGUGGCUUGUGUAUAGAGAGGUCUCAAAGGCACGGGAAGGUAUGGGUGUCCUUGUAGAACUUGUAGAACAUAAUUAGCUAAAUGAAUUUCUGAUAUUUAGGAUAAAGUUAUAUGUGUUUGAAGUGAUAGAUUCAUGUCUCGUUGAAUGGUGAGGGAGUGAUUUGGGACCGGCACUGCUGGACUUGGUUAGGUACUGUGAGAAAUUAAAUGAUUUUGUGAUGGUGAUUGUCAGUUAUAAAUAAUUUUGUGGUGUUAGCAGUCAAUUGAUUGGGUGUGAUUUUUCAUAAUGUGAACACUCGUUUUCAGAAUGUGCAGGGCUGAGUUAAUUCUUUGGUUUCGAUGAGCUUUCGUUUUGUUUUGACAUUAACCACUAACCAGAUUUUGGUCUGUUAUAAAUAAGUUUGUAGUGCUAGCUGUCAAUUGAUUGGGUGUGACUUUCUUAAUGUGAACACUUGUUUUCAGAAUGUGCAGGGCUGAGUUAAUUCUUUGGUCUCGAUGAGAUUUUGUUUUGUUUUAACAUUACCCACUAACCUAAUUUUUGGUCUGUUAUAAAUAAGUUUGUAGUGUUAGCUGUCAAUUGAUUGGGUGUGACUUUCAUAAUGUGAACCCUUGUUUUUCAGAUUCUGCAAGACUGAUUUAAUUUUUGUCUCGAUGAGAUUUUUUUUGUUUUGUUUUGAUGUUAUCCACUAACCUGAUUUUUUUGUCAAUUAAUGGUUUCAUUUCGAUGGUUGAGGUGGGAUUUCUAGUAGGGAUGAUUGGGUCUCUUUUGUUGUCAUGAUUGAAUUUCUUUUUUUUUGUCGUCACAUUAUUUCGAUAUUGGGUCAUAUUGGAUUCAUUUUGAAAUGAAGAUAUUCUAUGUAUUUUCAGAUUUGCUAAUGCUUGGUUUCAUAUAUUUAAACAUCCAGAUUGCUGAUUUGGUCGAUGACCGAUUAAGUUUUGAAUUUUAUUCCGGUUCCGAUUGUUAUUUUAUGAACGAUAUGACUUAUUUUAUCUAUUGUCAGAUUUUCAGAUGUUAAUUAACCCGUCUUGAGGGUAAUUGUGUUGGUCUAAAUUUUUAAGAGCAUGGUUGAACUUCAACUCACUUUAUUUUCUUCUAUUGGUUAGUUCUAACUUAAGUUUUUCGUUGGGGUUGUAUAUAUCUUUUUGUGGUAAUAUGAUUCAUGAGUGAAUGAUAUGUGAGUGACUACUACAUGUGAAAUAGUGAGUGAAAUUUUGUGAAUAGUAAGUGAAGUGGUACUCGAGUGAGAGUACAUGGGUAAUAGUGUUUGGAAGUGAAUUACAGUUAUCGCGUGAUUGUUAUAUAAAUAGUGUAAAAUAAUGUGAUUUAAUUGAUUUUGAUUAUUUAUAUGUGAUGUGCUUGACCUUAGGAAACCCAUACUGGGUCGAUGAAAUAAUUGACUCACCCAUUUGUGUUCAUUGUGUGAUAGGAUGGAAUCAAUGAAAAGAUGCACGACGGUCCAGGGACGAAGUGCACUGAGUUUUUGUUUUGUUUAUUGGGUUAAGUGAUAUCUAGGGUAGAGAUUAUUGUUUAGAUGGAUUACGAAACAGACUUGUUUUUUUAUAUUGAUAUCUAAACUUAUGAGCGUGUUCAUCUGAUAUUGUAUUGGU
rnacentral:lncRNA from 1 species